ensembl:lncRNA
GUCCUAAUGUGUAAAUAUCAACCUUCGCUUUGCCGAGAUGUCAUCUUCGAUGAAGGCCAACCAAAUUUCUAACGACACGGAGCAACAGGUAUCACAGCCCGCGGGCACACCUGGUCCUGUGCGAGCCAACCAGAGCCCCUCCCCCGUGAGGCAGCGGGUCUCCCAGCAGACCCUGCUCCUGGGGAAAGGUCUCAAAGGGUCUGGGCCAGACCAGGUGCUGCUCAGAGCUCAGAUGCUGAUUCUCACGUCUGCUAUGCGACCUUCCCUUUCCUCUUCCUCCUCUUCCUCCUCUCCUCCUUCCUCUAACCAUGCCUCCGCUAAGCUCCAGAGCCUCACCCUGAGGCCCCCCCCCCACGGGGCCCUCACCAUCCCUCCCUCCCUUCGCCUCAAGCCGCCGUGCUCGGCUCAGCAUCGACUCUCUCGCCCUCAUGCCCCCCUCUUCCCCCCCCUGAGGCCGCGCCCGCAGUCCUGCCACACGGCGACGGAGAGACCAAACGCGCCCGGGCGCCACCUCUCCGUCCCGCCUCCGACUCUUUACUCUCCGGUCCGAGUCGUCCCUCUGAGACCCCGCCUCCACCCUGCAAACAGCCACAGGGCGGCGGUGCCGCGGGUGACCACGCCCCUCCAGCCAAUCGGCGCCGCCGCCCCCCCCGCCUGUCGGGCCCCCCUCCCCGUCAGCAGGCCGG